UACGAAGGGGGCUAGCGUUGUUCGGAAUUACUGGGCGUAAAGCGCACGUAGGCGGAUACUUAAGUCAGGGGUGAAAUCCCGAGGCUCAACCCCGGAACUGCCUUUGAUACUGGGUAUCUCGAGUCCGGAAGAGGUGAGUGGAAUUCCGAGUGUAGAGGUGAAAUUCGUAGAUAUUCGGAGGAACACCAGUGGCGAAGGCGGCUCACUGGUCCGGUACUGACGCUGAGGUGCGAAAGCGUGGGGAGCAAACAGG
rnacentral:rRNA from 1 species